rnacentral:rRNA from 1 species
GGGUCAGUAGGUUGGUCGUGCCACCGGUACGUACUGGUCUCACUGAUUCCUCCCUCCUGAGGAACCGUAAUGCCAUUAAUUUGGUGUUGCGGGGAAACAGGACUGUUACUUUGAGAAAAUUAGAGUGUUUAAAGCAAGCUAACGCUUGGAUACAUUAGCAUGGAAUAAUGAAAUAGGACGAUCGAUCCUAUUUUGUUGGUUUCUAGGAUUGACGUA